UACGUAGGGUGCAAGCGUUGUCCGGAAUUAUUGGGCGUAAAGAGCUCGUAGGUGGCCUGUCGCGUCGGCUGUGAAAACUCGGGGCUUAACCCCGGGCCUGCAGUGGGUACGGGCAGACUAGAGUGCGGUAGGGGGGACUGGAAUUCCUGGUGUAGCGGUGAAAUGCGCAGAUAUCAGGAGGAACACCGGUGGCGAAGGCGGGUCUCUGGGCCGUAACUGACGCUGAGGAGCGAAAGCGUGGGGAGCGAACAGG
rnacentral:rRNA from 1 species